AGAGUACCCGUCUUUUUUGCAGGUUGAAACCUGAGUGGGGAUUUGAAGAAAAGUGAAUUAGCUCGGCCAGUUUCUUUUAGAGGAUCAUCCAAACAGAAGUGCUGUGGAGCCCUGAGAAGAAGGGAGGAAUUUUGGGUGACUACGCUAAAGAAAUCCUGCAGGUACGUUCCCUCUCUCAGAUGAAUUCUUCCAAAUCAGCCUAUUUAGAUUACUUUGGCAGAAUCCAUGGAAUUCUACUGUAUAAAAAAUUUAUCGAAUAUUGGAAUGAUGUGGAGACAUUUGAGGCAAGACCAGAUGACCUUGUCAUUGUCACCUAUCCCAAAUCUGGCACAACGUGGGUUAGUGAAAUUGUGUACAUGAUUUAUACAGAGGGCGAUGUGGAAAAGUGCAAAGAAGAUACCAUUUUUAAUCGAAUUCCUUACCUGGAAUGCAGAACUGAAAAUGUAAUGAAUGGAGUAAAACAAUUAAAACAGAUGGCAUCUCCUAGAAUAGUGAAGUCUCAUCUGCCACCUGAGCUUCUUCCAGUCUCGUUUUGGGAAAAGAACUGUAAGAUCAUCUAUGUUUGCCGGAAUGCCAAGGAUGUGGUCGUUUCUUAUUACUAUUUCUUUCUAAUGGUGACUGCUAAUCCGGAUCCUGGUUCUUUCCAAGAUUUUGUGGAGAAGUUCAUGGAUGGAGAAGUUCCUUAUGGUUCCUGGUAUAAACAUACAAAAUCCUGGUGGGAAAAGAGAACGAAUCCACAAGUGCUGUUUAUUUUCUAUGAAGACAUGAAGGAGAAUAUCAGAAAAGAGGUGAUGAGAUUGAUAGAAUUUCUGGGAAGGAAGGCAUCAGAUGAGCUUGUGGACAAGAUUAUAAAACAUACUUCAUUCCAAGAGAUGAAGAACAAUCCAUCUACCAAUUACACAACACUUCCAGAUGAAGUCAUGAACCAAAAAGGAUUGCAGGAGACUGGAAGAAUUACUUUACAGUAGCCCUGAAUGAGAAAUUUGACAUUCACUAUGAGCAGCAAAUGAAGGGGUCUACACUGAAGUUACGAACAGAGAUCUAGGAAAGUUUUUGUGGUUACAUCUGAGAUUAAAGUGUUAUCACUUCUUACCUCUGUUAUUUCAGACUGGUGGAGAAUGAAUCAGGCUAAAAAGAUCAUGGUUGAGUUCAUGUGAUUUUUGAGAUCUUCAUAUCAAAAACAAGAAAGAUUUUUUUACCUUGUUAUCUGUUUUAAUUUUGUUUCCUUUUUUACAAAUAUUGCAAAAAUCUAUAACCUGUGAGAAUGAUGUGGGAACACACAAAUUGUUCAAGUUGUUAGAGCCUCAUCGAAAAUAACCAAGCAUUCCAAAUUCUUUAAUUGUGUGAUUACUUUUUUCCAUUUAUUGGUACAUUUAGUAUAUACAACAUACAUAUAUAUACAUAUACACAUAAAUAUAUAUUAAUAACUGAACAUGGAUUUUGAAAACCUUGUUGGAAAAAAUUAAAGAAUAAUUAAAUAUGAGGGCAUAACUAGAUCUAUUAUUUCCUUCCUGAUAUUUUCUUUCACCUUCUGCAAAAUGGCUUAAUUUGGAAUUUUAUUUAGUCUAAUGUAAAUGUGAGGCAUAACAGAACUGAUUUCCAGAUGUCUAUAAAUGAUCCCAAUGAGUGUUAUUUAUGCAUAAAUAUCUCCAAAUGAUUUGAAAUAUUUAUGUUCUAGAGUUCUUUCUGUUCUAUAACAAUACAAUACAAUGUUAUAAAUGUAAGCUCUGUAAACUAAAGUUUUUUUUAAUGUAUCUUUUUAUGUAUCUUUUUUUUAUUACUCAAAUGAAUUUUAUCACAUCUGUAGUUGUAUAAUGAUCAUAACAAUUUAAUUUCACAGGAUUUCCAUCCCACAGCCCAGGCACAUCCCCCACCCCCCAAACUGUCUCCUCUGGAGACCAUAAGUUUUUCAAUGUCUGUGAGUCAGCAUCUGUUCUGCAAAGA
rnacentral:lncRNA from 1 species